CAAUUUUAUCUGUUUGUGACGAAGAAAAUUCAUCACAAUAUGUAGACUGAGAUUUCGCAGCGAUCUGUGACUUUUUGCGAGUGUUAAAUUCACGGCAAACUGAAAAAAACUUGUUGUGACCGAAAAAUUCGUCGCAAUACUUAAAAACACCCUCCUUUUAUUCCUUCCGCGCGGCCUCAUUGAAGGUCAUGAACCCAUCCGCUCCCACGAGCCCCUCCCUCUUAUCUUCUCUCUCUCGCGCUCCCUCUCGCACGGCGGCCAUUUCCCUGCAGCAGACCUUCUUUCUCUCUCUCUCUCUCUCUCCACUGCAUAUUUCUUGUGGGAUUUGGGGAUUUCUCCUACGUUUUGUGCAAUUUUGGGUCGCUGCCGAUUUUAGGAUUUGGGGAUAUCUCCUACGUUUUGUGCGAUUUUAGGUCGCUGCCGAGUUUACCCACAUUGUGAGUUCUCUUCAUCUCCCUAGCUCUCAUUCUUUUCCUCUGUAUUUUCCCCUUUCAAAGUCUCUGUUUUCCCUCUUUAUACCUCACGAAUCUAUUUUUACAGAGCCAUCAAUACCUGCCCGUUGUUGGCCCUGCGAUUUUGUUGUUUCCGUGAACAAACCUCUCUCACAUUUGUAAUGCUCUGUCGUUUUUCCCCUCUUUUUCUCUUUAAUUUUUCGGAUUUCUCUUUUAUCUUCAUUGGAUGGUUUUCUUGUAAGGCACAACUUUUAAAUGCGUUAAUGCCGCUAAGAGUAAGACGCAGAAAAUUCUUGGAACUCUAAUUUGCAUUUCUUUUGGUGUCACUACACAAUUUUUAGGUAUAGUAAACUAAGCUUGGGUCUCACUUUUCGCCCAAUUAGUUCGUGGCAUGUAUGAUUGUUUUCAUUGAAUUAUUUUAUGGAUAAUGUUGGAAAGGAGCAGCUGGCUUUGUUAUUCUCUUGUAUAAGAAUCCUUCUACAUACAGUCGGGUCAUGCAAACGUUGCGGAGGCGCUAAGUUUUGACCGUACGGCACAUGGCAGGGUCAUUUCCUCCUCCAAUGACAGUUGCUCUGCUCUGCACUUUACCACCCAUCACAUUCGAAAACCAAAGGAAACUCGGAACUCCAAUCUGCUAUCAUCCACCUCCCUUCCCCUCCGUGAAUUUCAACUCCGUAGCCCCCCGGCUCUGCAGUUUCGGCAUCUCAAAUCGGUUGCAUUUCGUGUUCAAACCAGAUCUUGAGAAGGAGCUUUUCUCGCAAACUGAAUACUCCUUUCAAGAGCCAGUGACAUGGACUUUCCUUCUUCAUCAACAGACAAUAUUCUAGGACAUAUGUCAAUUGGAGGUUGUAUUUGGUUACAUGUUUUUUGGGAUCUGGCUUCCAGCUGACUUGGUCCCCGGUUUCGAGUCUUUCAAGUUUUUUGCAGCAGGUAGAGGAGGCACCAAAAUGGAAAACCCAGAAAACCCACUACCAAAAAUCCAUAUACUCAGAAAACUUACUACCAAAAACCAAACAAACAUUGAAAUGAAGGAAAAAAAAGUAGAUAAUCGAAACCUUAUUUCUGGUAACUCUGAAAUAAAUUAGUGGGGAAAAAGAGACAUGGGGGAUUUUGGAAGAGUUGGAGCAACUUAUGGUAUUUUCGGCCUCCAUUGGUUAUGUAGUAGAGACCUUAUUCUCAAAAUCUUCCAUGAUUGUCUUAAGAGAGGUAAGAAUUCCAUUAGUUCUGUAUUUUCUCUUUUCGUUUCGUCUUCAAAGAGCUAAGAACUCGGGAGCAAUGAAAGAAAGGGAGGGAAAUGGAAGGAGGGAUCACUAAACGGGGCGUUUUGAUUUUUUGCCACAUCGCCUGGUGUUUGCACCGCACUUACCCAAAGCAACUGCAUUUAGCUUUUUUCCUUGUAUAAUUGUUAAGGUGUGGCAGUUUGGGUUAAUUUAAUUGGCUGUACAGGAUGUUUUUAAACUGUUUUGAGUGUUGUAUCCAUGAUGUUUUGAGAAGAUAUUGGUUUUCAGGAUGUCUUAUUGGUGGAUUAAGUAAUGUAAUGUGUGAAAUGGUAGAGUGGGUUACAGACUAUUUUUUACAGUAAUUUUUAUUGUAUUUUGUGGUCUUUGUUCCUGCUUAUUACGAUUUUAUUUCAAUUUUCAAGGCAUGAGAAGUAUUUUGAUAUCAGGCCCUGUGAAUACUUGGAAUUCUUUUCGUUGAAGAGAAGAAAUAAGGUGGACUAUGUUGAGUCUGUGACUGGCAGUCAAGGUAUUAUUAUGUUAGGAUAGAUUUCUGAAUAUUCUGUUGAUGCCUAGGUUUCCUUCAUGCUAUUUGUUCUCAGCUUAUUAUAUAUCUGAACUGGUCUUGGGUUGAAGUAUGUCGUGUAAUUUUUCUAAAUGAAUUGGUAUGAUGCCUAUGCAUAUUCAGACUAUAUUAUUAUAUAAUGACUAUCAUCACUAUCGUCCAUUGUCAUUGGCAUCUUGCUCCUGUACAUUGAGAUAAAUAGACGUUAGGGCUUUUGCCUUUUUUGGUAUAUCUCAUGGAAAUAAUCUAUUAUAUGCUUUUGAGCUUAUCAGUUGUCUUCAGUUGCGGCAUUUUAAUAGGUUAAAGCUGUUACCGAGGAAACCAAAUCUGUGGUUAUUAAAUUUGUACCUACUGUUAUUUCUUUAAUUUACACAGCAUAUACAUCUAUAGAGACAUGCAAAUCUUAACUCAUACAUAGUGAGCAGUACUUCAUAUGAUCAAUCUAUAUUCAUAUGAUCAAUUUAAAUUAAUUUUACAUAAAUGAACAUUAAUGGAAGCAGAACUUCAUUAUAGUGAGCCAAGUGCUCUAUCCUGUAUAACUUUUUGGGGCUAGAUGAUGUUCAAGAGUUGACAGAAAGAUUUUAGAAUUGCUUUAAGAAUUGCUUGAUAUGCUAGGGACUUGGGUAAGGUUGUUGGGUGCAGAUAUUUAUAACUUUAAGAAUUGCUUGCUUUUUAAAAUAUUUUGACUAUGUAAAAUUCGCAGUUCUAAUACCCUUAUGUCUUGUGUUGACAUGGUUUCAUGUCAUUAGGUGUUAGUUUUCCUGCUCUAUCACACAUGGCCAUCAAUAUUCCCUUUGUGGGGUAUAUGGCUCCGAUCUACCUCUUAUCUUCACUGUGCAUGGCAUGCUUUUGGAAAGCAUUUUGGACAUAUGUAGACCAUGACACAUUUACAGUGGUACUAGACCUUGCUUUUGGUUGGCUUGUUUGAGAUGUCAUUUAUAUGGAAUUCAGCUUGAUCGGCUGCAUCACCUCUGAAACAAAGGGAAAAAAGCACAAUUGUUGGACUAGCAGUAAUCUAAUUCAAAGUUUUGGCUUUUUUAACUUUAUCAUUGGCUGAUCAAAGACUAUAUUCUUCAUUACUUGUUAACAUUUAAACUUACAAGGGGUUUUAUCAAAUUGUUAGACCCUUUCAUAAAAUUUAUGAGCUGUAUCAUUGAGUGCAGAAGUAGCUGGCCUGGCCUGAGUGUCUAUUAAAGUCAUUUUUAUUCUUCAUUAGCUCAAUUCUAAUAUUUUUAUAUUUGGGUAGAUAAAUUAUGGUACUAAAUCAUGUUGCUUUUAUUUCUUACUUCUUACUUCUUACGAUCAUUGUUUUAUUUUAUUUUGUGGUAGCAAUAUGGUGAUAUCAGAACUCUGUGCUUAUUACUCGAUCUCUUGAAAUUCUUGUAGUCAAUUGUUUUACUGAUCAUCUGAUCUUUAGCUACUUGCUAGGUGACUACGAUACCAAGCCUAACCUUAUGUUUUUACUUAUCGAGAAAAAAAAAAAAAGAUACCAAGCCUAACCAGAGCAUAAGUGAAGUAGCUAUGUUAAGAGGAGCCUCUAUUUAUUAUUGUUCAGUUUUCUUGGUAACCAAACAGAGAUUAAUAAUGAUGCCGUCUUCGUGGACUGAUACUUUAUUUUCUCUUUAAUUGAUAAUCAAUUCAUAUAUUGUGUGUAAUCCUAAUGAAUUCAUAUAUUAGGUUUAAUCCUUUGUAAAUUCUUGUAGUUGCUGCUAAAGUUUAAUGAUGAGUGACAGAAGAUGGAAAGAGGGCAUUAAAGGAGCAGCAUGGGUGAGGCAGAGGUGACAUCUAUCUGCCUGUUGGUUCCAUGUAAUUUCUUAGUAAGUUAAUUUUUAUUUAUAGUUAAUUGAUGCCUUCCUGGUAUGCAAUGAGAAGGACAUUGCAAAACACCUCAGGGUAAGAUGUUUAAUAUCUCAUGGUUGAAGCGAGUUGUGGAUGUUCCAAGUAUGGUAGGCUAUGAUUGUAAGAAACAUUAGUUGCUUCCCUAUUGUAGUACUUAAUUGCCUUCCAUUAAUGCACCAUGCCAGUGUAUAGAUUACUAUAGUACUCUGAAACUGCUCAUUUGGAUUUAUGAAUGACUAUUCUAUUAAACCAAUUUGUCUCAGUUGCCACUUGGACUUUCUUGUUGUGCUUAAUUUGUAGAACAAAUGGUGAAACUUAGCACGCUCAUUUGGAUCAUCUCAUUAAAUUAUGUUUUCAGUUUCUAAACAUAUAUAUGUACUCCCUUUGUGUUGGAUCAGGUUUACAUAUCCAAUGUUGCAUUUAGUUUAACAAAGCUAGUUUAAUAUAUGUUACAGGAAAUAUGGAAACAGAACUCUUUGUACUAAUGAAAGAAUUCAAAUCGAUAAGAAGGCUCGUAGAAGCAAGGUCUGUACUAGCAUACUAGCAUGAUGAAGAAACUCAAUGGCACUUAUUAAUAAUUAUAAGAACCAUCUAUCUAAUCAUGUACUCUAAAUUCAUUUCAAUUGUGCAAUUUGUCUCCAUACAGGUGCAGUUUUUGCCCAAGCAGGUGCAAUGUAAGCAUACACACAUGCAUCCAUCUAUUAAUAUAUAAAUUGGAGACAUGGAUUUUAUUGUAAGGUUAACAUUAUAACACAUUAUAAAUCUGUACAGAUAUAUGUAUAUAUAUAUUUACACCAAAUAUAUGCAUGCUGGAUUUCUUA